rnacentral:rRNA from 1 species
GUGGGGAAUCUUGCGCAAUGGGCGAAAGCCUGACGCAGCCAUGCCGCGUGAAUGAUGAAGGUCUUAGGAUUGUAAAAUUCUUUCACCGGGGACGAUAAUGACGGUACCCGGAGAAGAAGCCCCGGCUAACUUCGUGCCAGCAGCCGCGGUAAUACGAAGGGGGCUAGCGUUGCUCGGAAUUACUGGGCGUAAAGGGCGCGUAGGCGGACAGUUUAGUCAGAGGUGAAAGCCCAGGGCUCAACCUUGGAAUUGCCUUUGAUACUGGCUGUCUUGAGUACGGGAGAGGUGAGUGGAACUCCGAGUGUAGAGGUGAAAUUCGUAGAUAUUCGGAAGAACACCAGUGGCGAAGGCGACUCACUGGCCCAAUACUGACGCUGAGGCGCGAAAGCGUGGGGAGCAAACAGGAUUAGAAACCCUGGUAGUCC